AAAUAUCAUGGCUUUUAUCUUUCCUUAAGCCUUCCUUCGACAUUUCAUCUCACAACACUGACUGAGUCGACCUUUAUGACACUCUAUAUAGUUUUUAAAGUAACCGCCGUGCAACCUGAUAUUCAUCUUUUCAAAAAAAUUAGUACCUUUCUAGCCAUUCGAUUACCAAAGAUACUUAAGUCCUUUCAUUACCUGUUACCCAGUAAUUAUUGCUUUCCAGAGUUAUUAGCCACAAAUAGUGACCUCAUUGGGUUUAGUGGAUAAACAUUUCGGUGCUUCGAGAAUGCUAACUAAGCUUAAAAUCUAUCCAUAACCCUACUUUUUACUUUAAGUACCAUAAAAUAGUUAUAAAAACGAAAAAUCGCGGUUACGACCGGCUUGCUUGCUUGCCAUUGUUACGCCCAAAAACGGUAUAAGGAAAAGCUUCGCUUAAAGGACUUGCUUGCUACGCGCUUAGCUGUGAUGCUUUGGUGAUGUCAUGCGCCAUCUUUUUAUAUAAUGCAAAGCUUUAAUAAAAAAUAAUUAUCGCCUUCCAUUAAAUUUCGCUCAUUUGUACAAAGUUUCUCAUUGCAGCUAUUAUAUACAUUUAUAUAAAACAUAAUUCAUGAUCAUACACAUACACAUUUGUAUAAAUGCAUAUAAAUAUUCAAUCACAUACAUACUUACAUUCAUAUUUAUUAUACAAUAUAAAAUAAAGAACUUAUAUUUCAGAUUAUUUGAAAAACUUUACUCUAGCGCGGGCGAUUACCUUUAAGUAUUGUAAAUAUUUUUUGCCUACUUUUUUUAACACAAAAAUCUCGGAGAAUUAACAAAAAAAUAUUUAUAAAAUUUUUUUACUAUAAUGCAUUUACUCCUCUGCCCCCUCAUCAAAUUUUAAUUUCAUCGUACUGUUACACUUACAAUUUUCCGUUAUUUUCUAAAUUUCUCUUUUAUGUAUUCCGUUAGAAUGAGUGUAGUAACUAAUACCAAAAGCGACAGCAAGCAGGUCGCAGUGAUCAACAUAGCGCCGCCACAAUAACAAAGGCUCGCACACAACUGCUACUGCUGCUGCUGCUGAGCUAAAUGCUACACACACAGCGGCGGCCACAAGCAUAGAAACACACAUAACAAAAAAAAAAAAGCAUACAAAGAACCUAAAAUGUUGCUACCUGCUACCUGUUGCCUGCCAUUUGUUUCCCGCCAUGCAUUUCUCACCUGCCUCCUGCAAAAUUAAACACAAAAACCAAAAAAAAAAUCCUAGCAUUGUUUACUUACAUUAAAUUGGCUUAAGAAUAUGCUAAAGACUGUAUUUACUCAUGUUAUAACUGUAAACUGUGUAACCAGUAGUCAAAAACGCCAUGUACAAAACAAAAUUCAAAAAGAAAAAAAAUCAAACAAACCUCUAACGUUACUUACUCGCUACUCGUCACUACGAGUGAUGCGCCAAAAACAAGCGAAUAUGUCAAACAAUAAUUUAUAAUUGAUUUCUCGAAAGCCUACUCAAGCGCCGGCCGCCGGGUACGAGCCACACGAACUCCACCAGCUCUACGAAUUCCGAUUAUAAUCAAAAUCCCGAUAAGUAUGCAAUGAAAAUGAAGUCGUCGUCACAGGCGCUGCGUGGCAGUGAUCGCUUCUAGCGAAGAGCUAUUCGUCUACACGUGACAGCAGCAACCAGCGCCAGAGCCAAUACUCAACGAAGACAACGUCCAGCAGUGUUGGCAAUUUAACGCUCUCGGCUGCUGGUCCCGCUGAGAGGCCGCUAAUGAUGCCAACCGAACGGACGACAAGUUUAAGAAAUUAAAUUGCAAAAGUAAAAUGAAUGAAAAUGAAGUGAAUUAAACGAAGUGGAUUAAAGUGAAAUGAAAUGGUUUAAA